rnacentral:rRNA from 1 species
AAUUUGAUCUUGGUUCAGGACGAACGCUGGCGGCGUGCUUCAUACAUGCAAGUCGAACGAUAAGGCGUCUUCGGACGUACAUAAGUGGCGGACGGGUGAAGUAAAAUGUAGAGAAUCUGCCCUAGAGAGAGGGACAACAGAGGGAAACUUCUGCUAAUACCUCAUAUGCGCGUAGUUGGAAUACUAUUCGUGAAAACUCCGGUGCUCUAGGAUGAGUCUGCAUCUGAUUAGCUAGGUUGGGGGUGUAAUGGACCACCAAGGCGACGAUCAGUAGCUGGUUUGAGAGGAUGAUCAGCCACAAUGGACUGAGACACGGCCCAUACUCCUACGGGAGGCAGCAGUAAGGGUAAUUUUGCGCAAGUGGGACGAAAGCCUGAACCGCAGCAACGCCGCGUGAUUGAAGAACGCCCGUUCGGGGUAGUAAAGAUCUGUCAGUGGGGACGAAUUUUGACGGUACCCACAGAGGAAGCAUCGGCUAACUCCGUGCCAGCCGCGGC